rnacentral:misc_RNA from 1 species
GAUGAAGAACGCAGCGAAAUGCGAUAAGUAAUGUGAAUUGCAGAAUUCAGUGAAUCAUCGAAUCUUUGAACGCACAUUGCGCCCGCCAGUAUUCUGGCGGGCAUGCCUGUUCGAGCGUCAUUUCAACCCUCAAGCCCUGCUUGGUGUUGGGGAUCGGCGUUGCCUCCUCCGUCGUUCGCGGCGGGGUGAGGUCGCCGCCCCCGAAAUGAAUUGGCGGUCUCGUCGCAGCUUUCCUUUGCGUAGUAACAUACCACCUCGCAACCAGGAGCGCGGCGCGGCCACUGCCGUAAAACGCCCAACUUUUUCAAGAGUUGACCUCGAAUCAGGUAGGAAUACCCGCUGAACUUAAGCAUAUCAUAAGCGGAGGA